UACGUAGGGUGCAAGCGUUAAUCGGAAUUACUGGGCGUAAAGCGUGCGCAGGCGGUUUUGUAAGACAGAUGUGAAAUGCCCGGGCUUAACCUGGGAACUGCAUUUGUGACUGCAAGGCUAGAGUUUGGCAGAGGGGGGUAGAAUUCCGACGUGUAGCAGUGAAAUGCGUAGAUAUGUGGAGGAAUACCGAUGGCGAAGGCAGCCCCCUGGGUCAAGACUGACGCUCAUGCACGAAAAGCGUGGGGAGCAAAACAGG
rnacentral:rRNA from 1 species